rnacentral:rRNA from 1 species
UACGUAGGGGGCAAGCGUUGUCCGGAAUCAUUGGGCGUAAAGAGCGUGUAGGCGGCUCGAUAAGUCCGCUGUGAAAGUCCAGGGCUCAACCCUGGAAGGCCGGUGGAAACUGUCGGGCUAGAGUCCGGAAGAGGCGAGUGGAAUUCCCGGUGUAGCGGUGAAAUGCGCGGAUAUCGGGAGGAACACCAAUGGCGAAGGCAGCUCGCUGGGACGGUACUGACGCUGAGACGCGAAAGCGUGGGGAGCAAACAGG